rnacentral:lncRNA from 1 species
AUGGAAACUAAAAAAGGUGACUACAAGAGAGUGAUGACAACAGCUAGGAGGGGAAACGGGGUGGCUAAUGGGAGCGUGUGGGGUGGGAGAGACCUGUGUGAUUGUGGAGGCAGACAGGGAAUUGCAGGGGAGAGGGUAAUGACAAAGAAAAGAACAGUUCUGUGUGGGAAUACAGCCUUGAAGCUGUGCUCACUCUGGGAAUUCCUCUGGGGGCAGCAGGCUUCGUUCUGGUUUAGAUCCGGCAAGCUGAAGAGAGAGCUUCUGCCUGGUGCCCCACGGCAUACACUUGCUGCUUUGGUGGCGGGAGCUGGCGCCGUUGCAGCCUGGAUAGGUGACUGCAGAUCCUGGAAACAGACUCCAAGGGCCAGCAAAGUGAUGUGGGGGCAGCUUGGCCCCUUCCUCCAAAGUGGGGGAUUAGGUCGGCCACAACUGGUCCCUUCUAGCAACAGGUGCCUCUUGCAGUCUCUGGACAAAAAGUUCAUCCUCGUCGGGAAUGACAGGCGCAAGCUGGUUCCAGCCCCUGUGAAGGUCAUGGUAAGUAGGAUACCCAAUGUUGAAUUUGGAGUCCCACUGCCUCAUCCCGGGCUCUCCAGCCAGCGGGAGAAGCCCCUGGUCACUGUGAUGUGCCUGGGCUUCUGCAUUUGUUUCCCACCAUGGCCUACAGUGGAGGGCGCUUGGCCCCCCGUGGGUGCUAAAUGCACUAGAAAGGAACCAUCUCCACACACUGAAAUAAUCUCCUGCCACAGUGAUCAGAACUGACCAACAUGGAACAUACCUGAAGUCUUACUUAAGACCAACUCACUAUCUUCCACACUCCUUCCUUUGAACUUGCCCUCUUGCAGCACGUGUGCUCAGUAAAGAGAGCUUUUCUGCUGUGGGUGUCUGCAUGGUGCUCACAACACUCGUCUCAUUUUUCCAGCUCUCACGUCUGACGGGGGGGGGGGGGAGGCAGGCAGUGGCCAGUCCUUGGCCCUUUGCCUGCCCAGCCUUGGCAAAGCCCCCCGUUGCUCUGCUAAUGCCUCCUUGCCAUCCCCAGCUCAUGCUUCUCUUCCUCCUGCAAGUGACUGCGAUGCUUUUCACACCGACUCCGUAUUUAACAGUUUUCUGUACACAUACCUUUCCCCGGCUGUAAUUUAAUCUCCUGAAAAGCGGGGAAUUUGGUUUAUAUAUCUCCUUUGGUGUCAGCAGGAGGCCGUGCGCAUAGUUACAGCUCGGAAAUGUUUACCGAAUGAAUGGUUGGUUUCUACAAGUAUCUUCCAAAAUUUGUUUAAUGAUAUAUGCAGGAAACAGAUAUCUUUAGGGAACCUGUACGCAUGCCUGUGGUUUCCUAAUUUUAAACAAAGUCUCUCUCUUAUAUGCACCCACACCUAAGUGUUAGUAUGCUUGAGCGUUUUUAGGUGAUCAGAAAUUUCUCCAGCCAGUCUCUUGUCUGCUGGCAUAAUUUGCGCUUUGUAAAGUGUCUUAAGGUGCCUGCAGGUUGCGUGCUUGCUGCCACAUUUCACGCUAACUGAACACUCGGGGGGCGGGGGGGCUCUGCUGUUUUCCAGGCGGUGUUUGGGCAGUGAUGGUGCAACAUUGCUCAGGACAGAGGGGGUCUGCGUUCUUGGGGGUUGGUAUUCUAUGGCAAGGUCAGCGAUGCAUAAGCAAGGAGGCAGACGACCAGCCUUCGCAGGGGUCAGUGCCCUGCCCCCCCCCCCGAACGUGGGCACAACAGGGCAAGAGUGAUGGGGAGGUCCGUGUGGUUGGGGGUCUGGGUGAGGGUGUGGCAAGUGAGUUGAGCCUCAGUACCCAGAAAGAACUGUGUGUGUGAAGACCAGGGGCGGAACAUUCCAGGCAGAGGGGACCAUCCAGGAUCCUCUGAGGGAGCUUAGAAGAAAUGCAAAACUUAAGGCUUUACCAAUAUACCUGUGUGCAAUAUCCUAAAGGAAUAUUGGUUUACGUAAUCUAACAGCAUAUUAAAAAUGUAUCAGGGCUUAUUUAGCAUGGUUUAUUUCAGGAAAACAAAACUGUUUUAUUGUUAGAAAUUUCUCUAAGUAAUUCACUGUGUUAAUGGGCCAAUGGAGAAGAAUCCUGGUUACUUCAGUCAAUGCAGGAAAAGCAUUUGAUGAUGUUCAAUACUUACUUAGGAUGAAGCUUCUCAGAAACUAGAAAUAUUAAGAAAUUUCCUUAACUUUAUGAGUCUAUAUAAACAAAAAUGAAUGGUAAGCAUCGUAGUAAACGCAUGAUUAUUUCUUUGUGGUUAGGAUCAAGCCAUGGAGGCUGCUCUCCUGGUGUCCAGCUGGUGUUCUGAUCAGAGACACAGGCCGUGGCAGUACAUGCAAGGAUGCACGGUGUCAGGGCGUGAGGAGACAGACAGCAGUCAUUUGUACGACAUCACUCUCUAUAUAGAAAGCCCAGAGGAAUCAACAGGUUAACUGUUAAACUGACAGUCUAGUAAAGAAGCUGGUUCAAAGUUAACACAGAGUUCUCAGACCUGUUCUUCUUCACCAGCAGAAAACACAACCGGAUUAUUAUCUAAUACAAAGUGACAUUCGAAAUAGUAGCAGCUAGACAAUGUCUAGAACUUAUCUGACAUGAAUGCAUAAGACCUUUAUAAGAAAUUUUAAAACUCUGUUAUGGAAAUAAAAGGGGAUGUUGACUAAUGGAAAUAUAUACCAGGUUCAUGGAUGGAAUGAUUUAACAUUGCAAAGGCAUCAGUUUGUCCCGAAUUAAUCAAUGAUUUCAAUGUAAUUCCAAUAAAAAUUCCAGCAAAUAUUUUUUAGAAACUCAAGAAGCUGGUUUAUUUGGAAGAAUAAAAGCCCAUGAAUAAUCUAGAAAUUUUUGUAACAGCAGAUCAAAAGGGGAAUGCUCCCUGUCAUGUAUUAAGAAGUAUUAAAAAACAAUAGCAAACACAGAACAUGAGCAAACCAAAUCAAACACUCGGCUUUGGUGCAGGAACCGACUACUAGAUCAGUGAAACAGGACAGAGCUCAGAAACAGAUGCUUACGGGAACUUGACAUCUGAUCAGAGCAGCCCACACAUCAGAGCGGAAGGACAAUUGCUUUGGAGCUGUUUUGGGAACACUAGGUCACCAAAUGGAAAAUAAUAUUGGAUUCUCACUUCACAAGAUAUAGGGUUAAACUUGGUGUAGAUUUAAAAAACAAAACUAUAAAAUUAACAAAUAAAAUAUCUCAAAUAUCUUUGUGAUUUGGGGGUAGAACCCUUUUUAAGGAGACCCAAACUGUAAUGUGAAACGAUUUGGGAGUGGUUACCUUCCAAGAGUGGUUUCUCUCCACUGAAGUCAUCAUUAGUAAAGUGAACAGGGGUGUAAAAAGGUAGAAGAUAUUUGGAAUGUCCAAACUGGAAUAUACUAAGAACUUCUGCAAAUUAACAACAACAGAAGACAAGGAACUCAAAUUUAAAAAUAAGCAAAGGACAUGCUUUAGCUGUUUCUUAGCAAGGGACACACAAAUGGUUAAGGGAGGACCCAUUGACUGAGCCCCAAGCUUACCAAGGUGGGAUUUCAGAACUUCCCUGGGGUGGCCCUUCAUGGCUGAUACACAGGUUCCCAGCUGCUGGGAGCCUCAGCCGCUGGUGGCUCACAGGGUUCUCCCUGGGAAUUACAACUGCAGGAACUGCCUGGCCCAAGCACACGCUGCCUACAUCCAGAGGGUAGUUCCUAUGAGACCACAUGGGCCUGGGCUUGCUGCCUCAGUUUAGGACAACUUUGAAGGGUCACUGAGUUUCAAAGUCCCCAUAAAGCUGGACAAGGCCUUAGCAUCAACCGCACUGCUGUUUGCUUAUUUUUCUGCCCAAUCUUACCCUCUUCGUGUCCUAACGAAGUUCCCUUCUGAGAGCAUCCCUGUAUCAGCCAGGGCUCUCCAGAGAAACAGAACCGCUAGGGCGUGCCUCUGGGCAGAGAAUUGUUAUGAGGAAUGGGCCACCCAGUUGUGGGGUUAAGAAGCCCCAGACCUGCCGUCAGCAAGCUGGGGCUCAGGAAAGCUGGCGCCGUAAUUUCAGUCUGAGCCUGAAGGCCAGAGAACGGGGGAGCUCAGAGCACAAGUCACAGACCAAGGUCAGGAGGAGCCACGUGUCCCCACUCCGUAGGCAGGAGGCGGAGGCGCGAGGUCCUGCUUCCUCCAUGCCUUUGCUCUGUUCAGGCCCUCAGUGGACUGGGCGAGGCCCCACCUUAGGGUCUUUCCUGUGCCCACCGACUCAAGUGUUGAUCUCACUCAGAACACCCCCACGGACAUCCAGAAAUGGCGUUUAUCUGGGCACCCCGUGGCCAGUCAGUUCAACAUAAAACUGACCGUGGGGUUGCCCACCAGACCUACACACCAGGGCCGGCUUCCGGGGGCCCGUCUUGGUCUGCUCAGGUGGCUACACAAGCAGCGCAGACGGGCGGCUGCAAACAACAGACAAUUAUUUCUCACAGCCCUGGAGGCUGGGAGCUGGGUCUGAGCUCAGGUGCCUGCAUGGUCAGGUGCUGGAGGGGCUGCUACUGGGGUACAGGCGGCGUCCGUCCUGCUGUGCCCACGCGUGCAGGAAGGGAGGGCCCUGUUCCCACUCCCUAGGCUUCGCCCUCAGGACCGCAUCUCUGCCCAAAGCCUGUUGGGGGUGAGUUUCAAGCGUGAGAACUGGGGCCACACAUUCAGCCCACUGCAAAGCCCAAUCCUCAGGUUUGGGUGACAGAAAUGUCGCAGUCGUUUGCAUAUGAAGCUCUUUCACUCCCCUUUACCAGCCCAGAGGCCUGGGGGACACCCUCCUGAGGUCCUGAGGAGUGAGUGGAGAGGGAGCCCUAGGGUGGCUGGGAAGCUCGGUGGCGCUGUCCCGGCAAGCCGCGGGCACUGGGGGGAAAUGCUGCCUUUAGACAAGCUCCUUGCUUCUGAAGGGGACAUUGGGUCCCGAGUGGCAAGUUCCAAGUGGCAGCACUUCCCUUUAGAGAAAAUAUG